rnacentral:rRNA from 1 species
UACGGGGGGAGCAAGCGUUGUUCGGAUUUACUGGGCGUAAAGGGCGCGUAGGCGGCCACCGCAAGUCGACUGUGAAAUCUCCGGGCUUAACCCGGAAAGGUCAGCCGAUACUGCGGGGCUAGAGUGCAGAAGGGGCAACUGGAAUUCUCGGUGUAGCGGUGAAAUGCGUAGAUAUCGGGAGGAACACCAGUGGCGAAGGCGAGUCUCUGGGAUGAUGCUGACGCUGAGGCGCGAAAGCCAGGGGAGCAAACGGG